rnacentral:misc_RNA from 1 species
AACGCGCUUUGAAUAACGGUU